CCCCUUAAAUACGGACGUCCUCCCAUUUGAGCAAUCAUCGUGCUUCAAGCUUUCAGUGUUCGCAGAGGAAGAGCGCUUCAGCAACAUGGGCACCUUAACAUGGACAGUUUGGCUGUUACUCGCCUUCAUAGCAUUGGCCAGUAACUUUGAAGUUGGAGAGGCCUAUAUUCCUGCAAACACCAAUAUCAGAACCAAAUACCUCUGUGAUUAUAUAGACCGCCGUUUCAAGUCGCCCUGGCCGUCAGUUUGCGACCCACCAAAAUAAAUAUUUAAAUCAUCCUGGCGACCGGCAUUUAUAAACCUACUACACUAACUUCUGCACUGUUCACUUUAAAAAUUAAUAUAAAAUCUUCUAAUUAAUUUUAUGAACUAAAAUUUUUAAAGAACACAUACCAAUGCUCUUAGAAGUGCUUGAGAGCAACAGGCAGCACAUUAGUGUGCAAGCUCUAGGUAGUGCACUAGUCUACACAUCGACAGUGCAACAGGGAAAGACGACACACACAGCCUUACUGUGGAUCAACAGUUUGAAACAAUCCAGCAGUUCGUAAGCACCGCGCAAAACGCAACUACAUAAUGUUUACUGAAUCAUAAACAAGAGGAGAGACAAUAUUUCUUCUAUCAUGAAUUUCCGCUGCAUUCCUGGGUUCUUAGGAAGAUAUGGGGCCUACUGACGUCUUUUAUUUCAUGGUCACCUACAAUUUAUAUUUGUAAGGGGGACGGUUCACUCUGUCACUUCAGAAUGGGAAAGGUUUCUUCCAUCUGACGUCACACACAGAAUACGCUGUUCGGAGUAGAAGAGGCACUUCCAGGGGCAACACAGAAGCAUCGGUUAUCCACAAGAUAUCACCAUCAGAUAUAAGGAUCUAUCUUGAGCACUCCUUUACGUGCUUCCCCCAGCCCCCACAAUUACUUGGUGGCAUUCCUAUUCACGCCUAUGCUUCCCUUCCUCUCAGAUAAUUCCCCCUCUACUUCAGUACACAUUUUCCUUUACAGUUAUUUUAGUCUCCAGGUUUCCAGCAAAUUUCUUGCAAGAAAGUUUCUGUGUAUCUCUUAAUAUUUAUUGUUUUAUCCUGUUGUGGGUUAUCAUAUAUUGUACUCUUAAUGUAUCAGUCAAUACAAUAAUUCUACAAUAAACAAAACAAUGUUACUGCAUUAAUA